UCGGACAACUUUCGAAUAAUUAUUAGUGUUUAUUGCAAAGAAAACUAUUUAAAGUAGUUUUUUAACUAUCUACAAUGGUUCACCAGUGCAUAGUUUGUUAAAGGUGGACUAUUCUAACUCCUGAUUGAUAUUUGGACGUUUUGGAACCCUUUACACUUUUACCCACACUUACCUAUACACCCACACACACACAAUUCACAGACGAGUACAUAUCUGGUGUUUUAAAUAGAGGAAAAUAAACCUUGGAAAAUUUUUCCUUUAGCGUUCCUAUAAAUACUGAGCUUAGACAAUGAUCGAUUUCACUCU